UUAAUUGUUAAUGUUGAGUAGAUGCUUUAGAUACACAGCACAGUGCUUCCACUUUACUUUUUCAGAAAGUCUUCUCUUCUUUUAAGUGAAUCGGGUCAAACUAUUUAAGUCGAUUAAACACUUUUCCAUCACGGAGGCUGAAGGCAGCCUAGAAAUGGCUUUAUAUUGGUUGUCCAGUAAAUGAGGGUCAAUAUAAGCCUGGAUGUCAUCAUAACUGGACUGCAGGCUGAUGAUGUCAUCAAUAACCUCAUCCAUCUUGUCAAAGAACAAACGCAUAACAAGACGUUAUAAAAAAAAUGGAUCUGGACACAUCAUGCAUUUGCAUUCAAAGUAGCCCUACGGACAUGCUUCCUCUCUUGUAUAGCUCACAAGAGUUGAUAACGUGCCGCAAUCGCACAUUCACUUCAUCCUCCCGUAAGAUUUGGUGGAACAGGAGAAGAGAAACACAGGACCAAAGUCUGCUUGGUUCCAAAGGGCCAUUCUGUGGGAUCCCUGUCACUCUUUAAUCUUUAAUUAUACCUUGACGGCCAUAAUUGGCCACUUAAACUCCAAUGACAAUGAAGUUAAGUUAGUUAACACCCUGACCUUUGCGUGCACCUGGGCGAAUAACACUCACAAUACCGGAGAUGAAAAAUAGACCACUCAGAGAUGACGAGAACUUGACAUUUACUAAACUACAGAUUUCUUUGAACUAAAAGAGGAACAAACUUUGGUGCUUAAUAUAAAACUGUACGAGAAAUGUAAAUUGUAAAACAAACAUGUGACUGCAAAAUGUGUCGGAAUGUUGUGUCGGAAUGUGAAGACAAAUAUAAAAAAAAUCCUGAAAUAAAAAAAAUAGGUCAAAAAGCUUCCAGUGCAUGUCUAUUAGAUUUGAAUCCAUGUAUACUCUAGUGCACUCCUUUAAAUAGUUUGAAAUGCACAUUUACUGUCUUAAAACAGACUAAAAGUAAUAAUGACCCAUUCUGCUCCGCUCUCUACAAACGCUCUCUAUAAUGUAAAUACAAACUUCAACACAUGACACUCGUAAAGGGAUU